GACGAACGCUGGCGGCGUGCUUAACACAUGCAAGUCGAACGGAAAGGCCCUGCUUUUGUGGGGUGCUCGAGUGGCGAACGGGUGAGUAACACGUGAGUAACCUGCCCUUGACUUUGGGAUAACUUCAGGAAACUGGGGCUAAUACCGGAUAGGAGCUCCUGCUGCAUGGUGGGGGUUGGAAAGUUUCGGCGGUUGGGGAUGGACUCGCGGCUUAUCAGCUUGUUGGUGGGGUAGUGGCUUACCAAGGCUUUGACGGGUAGCCGGCCUGAGAGGGUGACCGGCCACAUUGGGACUGAGAUACGGCCCAGACUCCUACGGGAGGCAGCAGUGGGGAAUAUUGCACAAUGGGCGGAAGCCUGAUGCAGCAACGCCGCGUGCGGGAUGACGGCCUUCGGGUUGUAAACCUCUUUCAGCAGGGAAGAAGCGAAAGUGACGGUACCUGCAGAAGAAGCACCGGCUAACUACGUG
rnacentral:rRNA from 1 species